CAUUUGCCUAAAACUUUGUAUCAAGAAAGAUUUAUUCACUUUUAGAAUCACUAGGCUGCUUCCAUUAUUAAUUUGAAGUAAUGUGCAGUCUUCACUGAUCAUUAAUUGGACUUUUGACAUUUGAAGUUACAGUCAAAACCUUACAAUUUUGCUUACAAUUUUUUUAAAAAAUAUAUCAUCAUAUUAAACUUUGCAUAAAUACAUAAAACUUUGCAUUCAACUUUAUUAAACUGCAAUAGCAGUUCACAUAACAUUGUGACGGUCCAUACCUCCUCAACUACGCUUAUAAUGCUUCCACCGUCCAGAUUCCACAAUUUUGUUAUGAGUAAAAUACCCAUGAUACUGCACCUCUUACUACUGAUCGAUAGGAUCGUUAUCCUUGUGAUACGAGGAUCAGUGUGCAUGAUCUUGAACCGAUCCUAUAUUAAAAAGUCGAAGAUGAUGUUUUUAGAGGUUUCUCCGGAGUUACAAUAACAUAAGCAUGUUGUAUUGUCGGCCACCUUGGUUUAGAGUUUUUUCUGCUUCGUUUUUGUCUUCUUCUCCCACGACACUUAUCAACAUAAACAGCAACUUCU
rnacentral:lncRNA from 1 species